rnacentral:rRNA from 1 species
UGAGGAAUUUUGCGCAAUGGGGGAAACCCUGACGCAGCAACGCCGCGUGAGUGAUGAAGGCUUUCGGGUCGUAAAGCUCUGUCAAGUGGGAAGAACCUGCCCCGUGAUAAUACCAUGGGGUACCGACGGUACCACUGAAGGAAGCACCGGCUAACUCCGUGCCAGCAGCCGCGGUAAUACGGGGGGUGCUAGCGUUAUUCGGAAUCAUUGGGCGUAAAGGGCGCGUAGGCGGUCUUUUAAGUCAGAUGUGAAAGCCCUCGGCUUAACCGAGGAAGUGCAUUUGAUACUAAAAGACUUGAGUAUGGGAGAGGGAAGCGGAAUUCCUGGUGUAGCGGUGAAAUGCGUAGAUAUCAGGAGGAACACCAGUGGCGAAGGCGGCUUCCUGGACCAAUACUGACGCUGAGGCGCGAAGGCGUGGGGAGCAAACAGGAUUAGAUACCCUGGUAGUCCACGCAGUAAACUGUGAACACUAGGUGUAGCGGGUAUUGACCCCUGCUGUGCCGAAG